AUUGAACGCUGGCGGCAUGCCUUACACAUGCAAGUCGAACGGUAACAGGUCUUCGGAUGCUGACGAGUGGCGAACGGGUGAGUAAUACAUCGGAACGUGCCCAGACGUGGGGGAUAACGAGGCGAAAGCUUUGCUAAUACCGCAUACGAUCUAAGGAUGAAAGCAGGGGACCGCAAGGCCUUGUGCGUUUGGAGCGGCCGAUGGCAGAUUAGGUAGUUGGUGGGAUAAAAGCUUACCAAGCCGACGAUCUGUAGCUGGUCUGAGAGGACGACCAGCCACACUGGGACUGAGACACGGCCCAGACUCCUACGGGAGGCAGCAGUGGGGAAUUUUGGACAAUGGGCGAAAGCCUGAUCCAGCAAUGCCGCGUGCAGGAUGAAGGCCUUCGGGUUGUAAACUGCUUUUGUACGGAACGAAAAGGCUCUGGCUAAUACCUGGGGCACAUGACGGUACCGUAAGAAUAAGCACCAGCUAACUACGUG
rnacentral:rRNA from 1 species